UGACCUGUUCCAAUCACCUAUUUUGUUAUAUGGCAGGGCUGCUGUCUUCCUGUUGGAUGUUGCUGCAACGCGGGACAAAUAUUGAUUUAUUGCGGAUAUAUUUAUCCCAACGAUACUUCUCAAACGCCUUGAUGCAGGAAAUUCGGACCCAACCUCGCUACAAAUAGACAAACAUUCAUACACCCGGAUCUCUCAUCCCUGUAACCAAUGUUCGCAAAAUUAUGGACACACGCGACCUCGGAAGGGACGCCCAUACUCCUUACGCUUGGUGUUACAUCCUCCUCCAUUAAUUCCUGACGUUCGCAAAUUUAUUAAUGCAUCAUGGUCCGGACAAUUCGUCGACAUUUCUGCUUCUCGUUAGUUAAAAAAAAAAACCUACAAAAUCGUUUCUUUUGGCACAUCAUCCCCGGACUUGGACAUCAUUCAGCCUCGGAACUUCUGCAGCACUAACUUAGAAUCUACUUUAAUUUAUAAACAUUGUUCCAUUGUCAUAGUCUAUAAGCCCACAUUUAUUGUUACUAGCAACGUAUACAUACAUAUUAUUUUGUUAAACUUACACCUCACACUUAAAAAAAAGCCUGAGCCACACGCAUUUCAAAAUAUUGUCUUAUAUAAUUUUCAAAAUGAAACAAUUUAAUUUUUCAUUUCAAUGUAAUAGCUUUUAUUUUUUACUUUAUAAACUACAUUUACUAUUCUUAAGUCCAAAAAUUUUGUCUUAUAUAUUUUGUUAAAAUUCUUUAAAAAUAUCACAUUUACUUAUCACACUAAAUUUAAAUAUUGCACAUCAUAUCACACAAAUUUAAUUAUUUUUUAUAUACUUUUAUACCACUAUUUGUGCAACAUUCACAAUUUAACUUGCAUUUGCUUACCACAUUAUACUUAUAUAUUGCACACCAUAUCACAUAAAUUUAAUUAUAUAUAUACCAUAUUAUACUACUUUUGCACAACAUUCAUAAAUCUAACAUGUACUGCUUAUCACAUAGUAAUCAAAUAUUGCACAUUGUAUCAUUUAAAUUUAACUACAUUUAUACUAUACUAUUAUGCAACUAUGUACAACACUCACAAACUUAAUGUACCAUUUGGUGCCCCCAAGAGGGAAGGGGUACCUAAUCAUCACUGCUUCGGAUUCUCCCCGCAUUCCCUCCACUCUUCUAAAAGGGAAGGAUUAAGACAAAUUUAAAUGUUGCUGCCUCCUAUCACUGCACACUCUUGGCUGUAAUUGGGAUUAGUAUUUAAUUUUAGAUUAAGUUUGUUGUACCCAUUUCUCGGCCUUGUGCGCCAUA